GCGUGACGUUGCCAGCGGCGCCGGGAGCGGGAGCGAGCUCGGGGUGCUGGUAUGUGGCAGAUUGUCUGCUGGCAACAAAGAAGUUGGAAAAUGACAGCCGUGGCCACCCACCGAAGGCCUGGAUACAAUCGAGAGAGAGCAAAACCUCUGUAUUUUCUGCUCCAGUUGAAGAACCCGAAGGGAGAAAGCUGUAAAUGCCAUGCUGCCAUUUUUUCCUUUUUAUCCCCUAACAGGUCUCAUUCUACCCAUGUAGAGUGAUAGCAGCAGUCACUUGAUGUCGGGGUGUAUUUCAGAGGCAGCAAUAAAAGAAAGUCUAUUUUUUA